GCGGGUGUAGCUCAGUGGCAGAGCGUGUGCGUGAAAUGCAUGAGGCCCUGGGAUCAGCCCCCAGUGCCUCUG
rnacentral:tRNA from 1 species